UGUUCGUGACGAGCCCGCGGUGCAGGGAAGCCGGUGUGAUUCCGGCGCGGUCCCGCCACUGUGACCGGGGAGUGUGCUCUUCCAGCAGGUCAGGCCACUGACGGAAACCAUCCGUCGGGAAGGCCGGAGAGCAUGCGCUGAUCCGGGAGUCAGGAUACCGGCCGCGGGGUGUUCCGUGUU
rnacentral:ncRNA from 2 species